ACGAACGCUGGCGGCGUGCUUAACACAUGCAAGUCGCACGGAAAGGCCCUGCUUUUGUGGGGUGCUCGAGUGGCGAACGGGUGAGUAACACGUGAGUAACCUGCCCUUGACUUUGGGAUAACUUCAGGAAACUGGGGCUAAUACCGGAUAGGAGCUCCUGCUGCAUGGUGGGGGUUGGAAAGUUUCGGCGGUUGGGGAUGGACUCGCGGCUUAUCAGCUUGUUGGUGGGGUAGUGGCUUACCAAGGCUUUGACGGGUAGCCGGCCUGAGAGGGUGACCGGCCACAUUGGGACUGAGAUACGGCCCAGACUCCUACGGGAGGCUGCAGUGGGGAAUAUUGCACAAUGGGCGGAAGCCUGAUGCAGCAACGCCGCGUGCGGGAUGACGGCCUUCGGGUUGUAAACCGCUUUCGCCUGUGACGAAGCGUGAGUGACGGUAAUGGGUAAAGAAGCACCGGCUAACUACGUG
rnacentral:rRNA from 1 species